rnacentral:rRNA from 1 species
GUUAGGAAUAUUGGACAAUGGGCGCAAGCCUGAUCCAGCCAUGCCGCGUGAGUGAUGAAGGCCUUCGGGUUGUAAAGCUCUUUAGUCCACGAAUAUAAUGACUGUAGUGGAAGAAUAAGCCCCGGCUAACUUCGUGCCAGCAGCCGCGGUAAUACGAAGGGGGCGAGCGUUAUUCGGAAUCACUGGGCGUAAAGCGUGCGGAGGCUGUUUUGUAAGUCAGAAGUGAAAGCCCAGGGCUUAACCCUGGAAUUGCUUUUGAAACUACAAGACUCGAAUUCGGGAGAGGAUAGCGGAAUUGUCAGUGUAGCAGUGAAAUGCGUAGAUAUUGACAGGAACACCAGUGGCGCAAGCGGCUAUCUGGACCGAUAUUGACGCUGAGGCACGAAAGCGUGGGGAGCAAACAGGAUUAGAUACCCCAGUAGUCC